rnacentral:rRNA from 1 species
AGUGAACGCUGGCGGUAGGCCUAACACAUGCAAGUCGAACGGCAGCACAGUAAGAGCUUGCUCUUACGGGUGGCGAGUGGCGGACGGGUGAGGAAUACAUCGGAAUCUACUUUUUCGUGGGGGAUAACGUAGGGAAACUUACGCUAAUACCGCAUACGACCUACGGGUGAAAGCAGGGGAUCUUCGGACCUUGCGCGAUUGAAUGAGCCGAUGUCGGAUUAGCUAGUUGGCGGGGUAAAGGCCCACCAAGGCGACGAUCCGUAGCUGGUCUGAGAGGAUGAGAAGCCACACUGGAACGGAGACACGGUCCAGACUCCUACGGGAGGCAGCAGUGGGGAAUAUUGGACAAUGGGCGCAAGCCUGAUCCAGCCAUACCGAGUGGGUGAAGAAGGCCUUCGGGUUGUAAAGCCCUUUUGUUGGGAAAGAAAAGCAGCAGGUUAAUACCCCGCUGUUCUGACGGUACCCAAAGAAUAAGCACCGGCUAACUUCGUG